UACGAAGGGGGCAAGCGUUAUUCGGAUUCACUGGGCGUAAAGGGCGCGUAGGUGGUUGGGUAAGUCUGGUGUGAAAACGCUACCGCUCAACGGAGCGAUUGCGCUGGAUACUGCUCGACUUGAGUACAGAAGAGGUUAGCGGAAUACCUGGUGUAGCGGUGGAAUGCUCAGAUAUCAGGUAGAACACCUGUGGCGAAGGCGGCUAACUGGUCUGUUACUGACACUGAGGCGCGAAAGCGUGGGGAGCAAACGG
rnacentral:rRNA from 1 species